UUACGGCCAUAUCACUUUGAGACACAGAUUCUCGUACGAUCGCCGAAGUUAAGCAACGUCUAGCCUCGUCAGUACCUAAAUAGGUGACCGCUUGGAAAUACUAAGUGCUGUAAG